UACGGGGGGAGCAAGCGUUGUGCGGAUUUACUGGGCGUAAAGGGCGCGUAGGCGGCCAGCGCAAGUCAGUUGUGAAAUCUCCGAGCUUAACUCGGAAAGGUCAACUGAUACUGCGCGGCUAGAGUGCGGAAGGGGCAACUGGAAUUCUUGGUGUAGCGGUGAAAUGCGUAGAUAUCAAGAGGAACACCUGCGGCGAAGGCGGGUUGCUGGGCCGACACUGACGCUGAUGCGCGAAAGCCAGGGGAGCGAACGGG
rnacentral:rRNA from 1 species